rnacentral:misc_RNA from 1 species
GUGAUAUCAGUGGUAGUUAAGUAAUGGUGGCGGCAGCGGCGGCAAGGUAAGAUGAUAUGGUGGUAGUAACCAGGUGGUGAUAGAGGUAACGGUUGUAGAGGUGGCAAUGGUUAAGUGGUAGUAAUAUUGGUUAAGUGGUGAUAAUGAUGGUGAUAGCAAUGGUGGUAAUAGAGUAGUGAUGAUAGUAAUGGUGGUGGUGAUGUUAAUAGUAACAGUGACAAGGUAUUGUAGUGUUGGUAGUAAUGGUAAUUAAAUAGUGGUGGUAAUAUUGACUAUGAAUGAAAAAAAUUGUAAUAAGUAAUCAGAAUUAUAUUUUUAUAUAAUGAUUGUUACGUUUUUUUAAAUAUAAUGAAUUAUAUUAUGUAAUUAUAAUUUUAUUAAUUUAUUUUAUUAAAUAACAUAAUUAGAUAUGUCAUUAUUUCAACGUCAUACUAAAUAUGACCCUAAAUUUUAGAUUUUGUCUGAUGAAGUCAACGUCAAUGCGUGUGGAGCCAACUAUGUUGGUGACAA